GAAGUUGUCAACCUCCCUCAAAGGCUUCCAAUUUUCCUGGCUGAUUAUCAAGGUUUGGAUAGUUGGAAGUCGGUGGGGGACCUUGAAAGCUU
rnacentral:pre_miRNA from 11 species